CAGUAGCCGCGGUAAUACGUAGGGUGCAAGCGUUAAUCGGAAUUACUGGGCGUAAAGCGUGCGCAGGCGGUUAUAUAAGACAGAUGUGAAAUCCCCGGGCUCAACCUGGGAACUGCAUUUGUGACUGUAUAGCUAGAGUACGGCAGAGGGGGAUGGAAUUCCGCGUGUAGCAGUGAAAUGCGUAGAUAUGCGGAGGAACACCGAUGGCGAAGGCAAUCCCCUGGGCCUGUACUGACGCUCAUGCACGAAAGCGUGGGGAGCAAACAGGAUUAGAUGCCCCCGUAGUCCCUGUCUCUUAUAC
rnacentral:rRNA from 1 species